UACGUAGGUGGCAAGCGUUGUCCGGAAUUAUUGGGCGUAAAGCGCGCGCAGGCGGUCCUUUAAGUCUGAUGUGAAAGCCCACGGCUCAACCGUGGAGGGCCAUUGGAAACUGGGGGACUUGAGUACAGAAGAGGAAAGCGGAAUUCCACGUGUAGCGGUGAAAUGCGUAGAGAUGUGGAGGAACACCAGUGGCGAAGGCGGCUUCCUGGUCUGCAACUGACGCUGAGACGCGAAAGCGUGGGUAGCAAACAGG
rnacentral:rRNA from 1 species